AACGAACGCUGGCGGCAUGCCUAACACAUGCAAGUCGAACGGGAUCCUGGCUUCGGCCAGGUGAGAGUGGCGGACGGGUGAGUAACGCGUGGGAACCUGCCCAUUGGUCUGGGAUAACUGCGGGAAACUGCAGCUAAUACCGGAUGUACCCGAGAGGGGAAAGAUUUAUCGCCGAUGGAGGGGCCCGCGUCAGAUUAGGUAGUUGGUGAGGUAACGGCUCACCAAGCCUACGAUCUGUAGCUGGUCUGAGAGGAUGAUCAGCCACACUGGGACUGAGAUACGGCCCAGACUCCUACGGGAGGCAGCAGGUGGGGAAUAUUGGACAAGUGGGGGCAACCCCUGACUCCAGCAAUGCCGCGUGAGUGAUGAAGG
rnacentral:rRNA from 1 species